UACAGAGGUCUCAAGCGUUGUUCGGAUUCAUUGGGCGUAAAGGGUGCGUAGGCGGCGCGGUAAGUCGGGUGUGAAAUCUCGGAGCUUAACUCCGAAACUGCAUUCGAUACUGCCGUGCUUGAGGACUGGAGAGGAGACUGGAAUUUACGGUGUAGCGGUGAAAUGCGUAGAUAUCGUAAGGAAGACCAGUGGCGAAGGCGGCUCACUGGACCGGUUCUGACGCUGAGGCGCGAAAGCGUGGGGAGCAAACGGG
rnacentral:rRNA from 1 species